UUCCGGUGUGAAGCGGAAGUCCCCCUGGGAGGAGCCGCCGCGGGGACCCGUGGCACCGGCUUUUUGGUGCUGUAGCUGCCAUGGGCAAAAGAGACCGGGGGGACCGCGAUAAGAAGAAGUCCAAGAAGCGGCACUACGAGGAUGAAGAAGAAGAUGAAGACGACGUCCCUGGGAACGACUCUCAGGAAGCGGUCCCCUCGGCGGCCGGGAAGCAGGUGGAUGAGUCCGGCACCAAAGUGGAUGAAUAUGGAGCCAAGGACUACAGGCUGCAGAUGCCGCUGAAGGACGACCACACCUCGAGGCCUCUCUGGGUGGCUCCUGAUGGCCACAUCUUCUUAGAAGCCUUCUCUCCAGUUUACAAAUAUGCUCAAGACUUCCUGGUGGCCAUCGCAGAGCCAGUGUGCCGACCAACCCAUGUGCAUGAGUACAAACUAACUGCCUACUCCCUGUAUGCAGCUGUCAGUGUUGGGUUGCAAACCAGUGACAUCACUGAGUACCUCAGGAAGCUCAGCAAAACGGGAGUCCCUGAUGGAAUUAUUCAGUUUAUUAAGUUGUGUACUGUCAGCUAUGGAAAAGUCAAGCUGGUCCUGAAGCACAACAGGUACUUCGUUGAAAGUUCCCACCCUGAUGUCAUCCAGCAUCUUCUCCAGGAUCCAGUGAUCCGGGAAUGCCGCCUGCGGAACUCCGAGGGGGAGGCUACAGAGCUCAUCACAGAGACUUUCACCAGCAAGUCUGCUAUUGCCAAAACUGCUGAAGGCAGUGGUGGGCCUUCUACUUCCCGGGUGACAGAUCCACAGGGUAAAUCUGACAUCCCCACGGACCUGUUUGACUUUUAUGAACAAAUGGACAAGGAUGAGGAAGAAGAAGAAGAGACCCAGACAGUGUCUUUUGAAGUCAAGCAGGAAAUGAUUGAGGAACUCCAGAAACGUUGCAUCCACCUGGAGUACCCUUUGUUGGCAGAAUAUGACUUCCGGAAUGAUUCUGUUAACCCGGAUAUCAACAUUGACCUGAAACCCACAGCUGUCCUUAGACCUUAUCAGGAGAAGAGCUUGCGGAAGAUGUUUGGGAACGGACGUGCCCGUUCUGGGGUCAUUGUUCUUCCUUGUGGUGCUGGGAAGUCCCUGGUUGGCGUGACAGCUGCAUGCACUGUGAGAAAGCGCUGUCUGGUGCUGGGCAACUCAGCUGUGUCUGUGGAACAGUGGAAAGCCCAGUUCAAGAUGUGGUCCACCAUCGACGACAGCCAGAUCUGCCGCUUCACCUCCGACGCCAAGGACAAGCCCAUAGGCUGCUCCAUUGCCAUUAGCACCUACUCCAUGCUGGGCCACACCACCAAAAGGUCCUGGGAGGCUGAGCGAGUCAUGGAGUGGCUCAAAACUCAGGAGUGGGGCCUCAUGAUCCUGGAUGAAGUCCAUACCAUACCAGCCAAGAUGUUCCGACGGGUGCUCACCAUCGUGCAGGCCCACUGCAAGCUGGGUUUGACUGCAACCCUCGUCCGGGAAGAUGACAAAAUCGUCGAUUUAAAUUUUCUGAUUGGGCCCAAGCUCUACGAAGCCAACUGGAUGGAGCUGCAGAACAACGGCUACAUAGCCAAAGUCCAGUGUGCUGAGGUUUGGUGCCCAAUGUCUCCUGAGUUUUACCGGGAGUAUGUGGCAAUUAAAACCAAGAAACGAAUCUUGCUGUACACCAUGAACCCCAACAAAUUCAGAGCCUGCCAGUUUCUGAUCAAGUUUCAUGAAAGGAGGAAUGACAAGAUUAUUGUCUUUGCUGACAACGUGUUUGCCCUGAAGGAAUAUGCCAUUAGGCUGAACAAACCCUAUAUCUAUGGUCCUACAUCCCAAGGAGAGAGGAUGCAGAUUCUCCAGAAUUUCAAGCACAACCCCAAAAUCAACACCAUCUUCAUAUCCAAGGUGGGCGACACAUCGUUUGAUCUGCCAGAAGCAAAUGUUCUCAUUCAGAUCUCAUCUCAUGGUGGCUCCCGGCGGCAAGAGGCCCAGAGGCUGGGGCGAGUGCUCCGAGCCAAAAAAAGGGAUGGUUGCCGAGGAGUACAAUGCCUUCUUCUACUCGUUGGUGUCCCAGGACACACAGGAAAUGGCUUACUCCACCAAGCGGCAGAGGUUUUUGGUAGAUCAGGGUUAUAGCUUUAAGGUGAUCACAAAGCUUGCUGGCCUGGAGGACGAAGAGCUGGCAUUUUCCACGAGGGAAGAGCAGCAGCAGCUCUUACAGAAAGUCCUGGCGGCCACCGACCUGGAUGCCGAGGAGGAGGUGGUGGCAGGGGAGUUUGCCUCCAGAUCCAGCCAGGUAUCUCGGCGCUUUGGCACCAUGAGCUCCAUGUCUGGGGCUGAUGACACUGUGUACAUGGAGUACCACUCGGCUCGGAGCAAGGCUUCCACGAAGCACGUGCACCCGCUUUUCAAGCGCUUCAGGAAAUGACGUCUGUAGGGUCAUGUGGGUGAAGGCUGGGUGCUCGGCACCAACACUGGAUAGGGAUUUUCCACAUCCUCAUUCUUUCCUCCAGCAUUGGCCAAACUGAUGUAGAUGCAACGCUUGUUAACUGUGUUGAAAAUGCAUCAAGAACUCAGUUCUGUCUUCAUGGGUCGUCCAGGGCUUAAAAAAAGUUGGGAGACUCUGUUUUGGGUUUUUUUUUUCAGACCUCUUUUCAGUCAUGGGCAGUGGUCAUUCCUGUAUAUAAAUAUUUGUAAUAUUUCAGAUGUAUUUAUCUUAAUGUUCUGAGUAAACAGAAAUGGAGCAUUUGA